GAUGAACGCUGGCGGCGUGCUUAACACAUGCAAGUCGAGCGAAGCACUUUGCUUUGAUUUCUUCGGGAUGAAGAGCUUAGUGACUGAGCGGCGGACGGGUGAGUAACGCGUGGGUAACCUGCCUCAUACAGGGGGAUAACAGUUAGAAAUGACUGCUAAUACCGCAUAAGGCCACAGCACCGCAUGGUGCAGGGGGUAAAAACUCCGGUGGUAUGAGAUGGACCCGCGUCUGAUUAGUUAGUUGGCGGUGUAACGGACCACCAAGACGACGAUCAGUAGCCGGCUUGAGAGAGUGAACGGCCACAUUGGGACUGAGACACGGCCCAAAACUCCUACGGGAGCAGCAGUGGGGAAUAUGCACAAUGGGGGAAACCCUGAUGCAGCAACGCCGCGUGAGUGAAGAAGUAUUCGGUAUGUAAAGCUCUAUCAGCAGGGAAG
rnacentral:rRNA from 1 species